UACGUAGGGUCCGAGCGUUGUCCGGAAUUACUGGGCGUAAAGAGCUCGUAGGUGGUUUGUCGCGUUGUUCGUGAAAACUCACAGCUCAACUGUGGGCGUGCGGGCGAUACGGGCAGACUUGAGUACUGCAGGGGAGACUGGAAUUCCUGGUGUAGCGGUGGAAUGCGCAGAUAUCAGGAGGAACACCGGUGGCGAAGGCGGGUCUCUGGGGCAGUAACUGACGCUGAGGAGCGAAAGCAUGGGGGAGCGAACAGG
rnacentral:rRNA from 1 species